UCGUGUAGGUGGUUUUCCGCAUCGAAUCUGAAAGCCCGAGGCUUAACCUCGGCGUUGGAUUCGAGAUGGGGAGACUCGAGGGCGAGAGAGGCAAGGGGAACUCACGGUGGAGCAGUGAAAUGCGUUGAUAUCGUGAGGAACACCAAAGGCGAAGGCACCUUGCUGGCUCGCAUCUGACACUCAGACACGAAAGCUAGGGGAGCGAAGCAGAUUAGAGACCUGCGUAGUCCUAGCCCUAAACGCAUGUCUGCUAGUUACCCCGCCGCAAGGCGGGGCGACGUAAGCUAACGCGUUAAGCAGACCGCCUGGGGAGUACGGCCGCAAGGCUAAA
rnacentral:rRNA from 1 species